rnacentral:rRNA from 1 species
ACAUGCAAGUCGAGCGAACAGAUGAGAAGCUUGCUUCUCUGAUGUUAGCGGCGGACGGGUGAGUAACACGUGGGUAACCUACCUAUAAGACUGGGAUAACUCCGGGAAACCGGGGCUAAUACCGGAUAAUAUUUUGAACCGCAUGGUUCAAUAGUGAAAGACGGUUUCGGCUGUCACUUAUAGAUGGACCCGCGCCGUAUUAGCUAGUUGGUAAGGUAAUGGCUUACCAAGGCGACGAUACGUAGCCGACCUGAGAGGGUGAUCGGCCACACUGGAACUGAGACACGGUCCAGACUCCUACGGGAGGCAGCAGUAGGGAAUCUUCCGCAAUGGGCGAAAGCCUGACGGAGCAACGCCGCGUGAGUGAUGAAGGUCUUCGGAUCGUAAAACUCUGUUGUUAGGGAAGAACAAAUUUGUUAGUAACUGAACAAGUCUGACGUACUAACCAGAAAGCCACGGCUAACUACGUGCCAGCAGCCGCGGUAAUACGUAGGUGGCAAGCGUUAUCCGGAAUUAUUGGGCGUAAAGCGCGCGUAGGCGGUUUCUUAAGUCUGAUGUGAAAGCCCACGGCUCAACCGUGGAGGGUCAUUGGAAACUGGGAAACUUGAGUGCAGAAGAGGAGAGUGGAAUUCCAUGUGUAGCGGUGAAAUGCGCAGAGAUAUGGAGGAACACCAGUGGCGAAGGCGGCUCUCUGGUCUGUAACUGACGCUGAUGUGCGAAAGCGUGGGGAUCAAACAGGAUUAGAUACCCUGGUAGUCCACGCCGUAAACGAUGAGUGCUAAGUGUUAGGGGGUUUCCGCCCCUUAGUGCUGCAGCUAACGCAUUAAGCACUCCGCCUGGGGAGUACGACCGCAAGGUUGAAACUCAAAGGAAUUGACGGGGACCCGCACAAGCGGUGGAGCAUGUGGUUUAAUUCGAAGCAACGCGAAGAACCUUACCAAAUCUUGACAUCCUUUGACCGCUCUAGAGAUAGAGUCUUCCCCUUCGGGGGACAAAGUGACAGGUGGUGCAUGGUUGUCGUCAGCUCGUGUCGUGAGAUGUUGGGUUAAGUCCCGCAACGAGCGCAACCCUUAAGCUUAGUUGCCAUCAUUAAGUUGGGCACUCUAGGUUGACUGCCGGUGACAAACCGGAGGAAGGUGGGGAUGACGUCAAAUCAUCAUGCCCCUUAUGAUUUGGGCUACACACGUGCUACAAUGGAUAAUACAAAGGGCAGCGAAUCCGCGAGGCCAAGCAAAUCCCAUAAAAUUAUUCUCAGUUCGGAUUGUAGUCUGCAACUCGACUACAUGAAGCUGGAAUCGCUAGUAAUCGUAGAUCAGCAUGCUACGGUGAAUACGUUCCCGGGUCUUGUACACACCGCCCGUCACACCACGAGAGUUUGUAACACCCGAAGCCGGUGGAGUAACCUUUUAGGAGCUAGCCGUCGAAG